rnacentral:tRNA from 1 species
GGGCCAGUAGCUCAGUUGGUAGAGCACCGGACUUUUAAUCCGGGUGUCGCAGGUUCGAGACCUGCCUGGCCUACCA